rnacentral:rRNA from 1 species
GACGAACGCUGGCGGCGUGCUUAACCCAUGCAAGUCGAACGGAAAGGCCCUGCUUUUGUGGGGUGCUCGAGUGGCGAACGGGUGAGUAACACGUGAGUAACCUGCCCUUGACUUUGGGAUAACUUCAGGAAACUGGGGCUAAUACCGGAUAGGAGCUCCUGCUGCAUGGUGGGGGUUGGAAAGUUUCGGCGGUUGGGGAUGGACUCGCGGCUUAUCAGCUUGUUGGUGGGGUAGUGGCUUACCAAGGCUUUGACGGGUAGCCGGCCUGAGAGGGUGACCGGCCACAUUGGGACUGAGAUACGGCCCAGACUCCUACGGGAGGCAGCAGUGGGGAAUAUUGCACAAUGGGCGGAAGCCUGAUGCAGCAACGCCGCGUGCGGGAUGACGGCCUUCGGGUUGUAAACCGCUUUCGCCUGUGACGAAGCGUGAGUGACGGUAAUGGGUAAAGAAGCACCGGCUAACUACGUG